CACGUAGGGGGCAAGCGUUGUCCGGAUUUAUUGGGCGUAAAGAGCUCGUAGGCGGUUCGGUAAGUCGGGUGUGAAACCUCCAGGCUCAACCUGGAGACGCCACCCGAUACUGCUGUGACUCGAGUCCGGUAGGGGGAGCGUGGAAUUCCUGGUGUAGCGGUGAAAUGCGCAGAUAUCAGGAGGAACACCAGCGGCGAAGGCGGCGCUCUGGGCCGGAACUGACGCUGAGGAGCGAAAGCGUGGGUAGCAAACAGG
rnacentral:rRNA from 1 species